AUGGGGACACCAUGGGGACACAGGGACCUGUGUCACCCUGGCCCAUCGUCCCCAUCCUGCUCUGAGCCAUGGGGACACCUCGGGGACAUUGUCCCCACCCUGUGCCAGCCCCGGUGUCCCCUUCCCGCCCCGAGCCACAGGGUUGGGGGACACCAUGGGGACCGAGGGGCCGGUCAUGGUGUCACAGUCCCCGGGAACGAACUGUGUCACCCGUGCGUGGCCUGUCACCAUCACCAGGAAGGAACCGUGGCUGGGAAUGAACUGUGUCACCCGCGUGUGGCCUGUCACCGUAGCUGGGAACGAACCGUGUCACCUGCGCAUGGCCUGUCACUGUCACCAUCCCCGGGAAUAAACUGUCACCUGUGUGUGGCCUGUCACCAUCACCGGGAAGGAACUGUGUCACCUGCACAUGGCCUGUCACCAUCACUGUUCCUGGGAAUGAACUGUGUCACCUGCGCGUGGCCUGUCACCGUCACCAUCCCCGUGAAUGAACCAUGUCCUCUGCGUGUGGCCUGUCACCGUGGCUGGGAACAAACUGUGUCACCUGUGUGUGGUCUGUCACCGUCCCCAGGAACAACCCGUGUCACCCGCGCGUGGCCUGUCACCAUCACCGUUCCUGGGAAUGAACCAUGUCACCUGCGCGUAGCCUGUCACUGUCCCCGGGAAUGACCUGUGUCACCCGC
rnacentral:lncRNA from 1 species